GACGAACGCUGGCGGCGUGCCUAACACAUGCAAGUCGAGCGGGGUUGAGGCGAGAGGUAACUCGAGCUUCUACCUAGCGGCGGACGGGUGAGUAACGCGUGGGCAACCUGCCUCAAGGUUUGGGAUAACAGCCCGAAAGGGCUGCUAAUACCGGAUAUGCCUAUGGCCUCGCAUGGGGCUAUGAGCAAAGGGGAAACCCGCCUUGAGAUGGGCCCGCGUCCCAUCAGCUAGUUGGUGAGGUAACAGCUCACCAAGGCGACGACGGGUAGCCGGCCUGAGAGGGUGACCGGCCACACUGGGACUGAGACACGGCCCAGACUCCUACGGGGGGCAGCAGUGGGGGAUCUUGCACAAUGGGCGAAAGCCUGAUGCAGCGACGCCGCGUGAGCGAAGAAGGCCUUCGGUUGUAAGCUCUGUCUGGAGGGACGGAACAAAAUGACGGUACCUCCGGACGGAAGGCCACGGCUAACUACGUGCCAGCAGCCGCGGUAACUAGUCUACG
rnacentral:rRNA from 1 species